rnacentral:rRNA from 1 species
AUUGAACGCUGGCGGCAUGCCUUACACAUGCAAGUCGAACGGUAACAGGUCUUCGGAUGCUGACGAGUGGCGAACGGGUGAGUAAUGCAUCGGAACGUGCCCAGACGUGGGGGAUAACGAGGCGAAGGCUUUGCUAAUACCGCAUACGAUCUAAGGAUGAAAGCAGGGGACCGCAAGGCCUUGCGCGUUUGGAGCGGCCGAUGGCAGAUUAGGUAGUUGGUGGGAUAAAAGCUUACCAAGCCGACGAUCUGUAGCUGGUCUGAGAGGACGACCAGCCACACUGGGACUGAGACACGGCCCAGACUCCUACGGGAGGCAGCAGUGGGGAAUUUUGGACAAUGGGCGAAAGCCUGAUCCAGCAAUGCCGCGUGCAGGAUGAAGGCCUUCGGGUUGUAAACUGCUUUUGUACGGAACGAAAAGGCUCUGGCUAAUACCUGGGGCACAUGACGGUACCGUAAGAAUAAGCACCGGCUAACUACGUGCCAGCAGCCGCGGUAA